rnacentral:lncRNA from 1 species
ACGUAGGAUACCUGGUCAGGAGCCCCGACGAAUCAGGACACGCCACGUGAUAACGGGCACUGACGUGGUGCCAUGUGGGGAGUCACGCGGGCGAUCUAUGUGCCCGUUCGGACGGCCUGGAUGCACUCCCUCCCAAACGCGAUCGAACGACCAUAUUCAAACGCGAUCGAACGAUCCAGAGUGGAUCACGAUGGACGACCCAGAUUGGAUCGCGAUGAACGGUCUAGAUUCACUCUCUAUUUAAUCGUGAUCGAACAGUACAUAUCAAACGUGAUGGACGAUCUAGAUAAAAAACGGACGGAUAUAGAUAACCCCUAUCCGCAC